rnacentral:lncRNA from 1 species
AAUUAGCUGAGCUCAAGCAAGAUUAUCUCAGCUCAAAUUCGAUUUGAAAUUAAUUUUGAGUCUAAAUUUAGGCUAAAGCUCGGCUUGAAAUUAAUUUGAGCUAAGCUCGAGGGAGCCUAAUUUCAAGUUGAGCGAGCGAGCUCCGGCUCUAAACGAGCCACUUGAAAUUCUCAACGUCCUAACGAUCAAUACACUACAACAGAAUUAAAUUAUAGGAACACAUGUUUGGGACACUUUUGUCUAAGUGUUCCAUUUAUGUCAAAAUUUUAAAAAAUAUCUACUAAUGUCUAAAUAUAAAGCCGAAUCCAACAAAAAAAAAAAAAAGAUUACUAUACUUUACCCACCCAACCCAGUCCAUUUGGCCCGAUUCCAAACUGAAAGGAAAAAAAAAAGAAAAAUCAAUUACCAUCUCCCCUUCUCCCCUCACUCAAUCCACUGAAAUCCUAGACGAAGGGGCCUUCCCUCUCGUCCUCCUCCGCCACCGCAGCCAACAAGAUAGAGUUCCGACAGUUGCUAGAUGCUUAAAUAAGAGUUGCUAAAUUAGCAGCACUUUUUUAGGUUAUAGUGACACUCUUUAACUGUCGCUAUAUACCUAGCGACCCCACAUAUAGCAACACCUUUUAAAAGUGUCGGUAAUUUAGCCAGCAGCACUUUUUUUGACCUAUACCGACAUUUAAAAGUGUCGCUAUAGACCGUUUUUGUUGUAGUGAUAAUUUAAUUUAUAUAUAACAUUAUCUACAAUUUGAUACAAAAAUAUAUCUAAUAGUUUAAAAUACAAAAUAAUUAUAUGAAAUACGGUAUCAUAAUAUGAAGAAAAAUAACUUAUCAGUUGAAUAUCUAAUCUUUUCAACCUCUCUUCCACCUUCAAUCUUCAUAUUAAUCCUUUUCAUCUAUGCAGUCAAAAAAUAAUAAAUAAUAUAGACAAAUAUUGGAUUAAACUAUCAAUCAUGUAUAACUAAAAUCAAAAUUUUGUAUAAAUAAUAAUUUUUUACCUUAAAAAUAUUUUGUAUAUAUAUUUUCUCAAGUACACAACUAAUAACAGGGUAGGCAAUGGCGGGCACGUGCUGUUACUUGGUAACUUAGGGUGCUUUGGGCUUGGCCGCUUGGGGAGAGAGAGAGAGAGAGAGAGAGAGAGAGAUAGAUUAGGGAUUUAUGGCUUUAUAAAAGAAAGAGUUCAAGAGAGAGUCUAAAUUUAGUGGAAUUUUAUCUUUUUGUUGACAUAUUGGGUUUGGUUUUAUGGGCCAGUAACAUUAGUCUAAUUUUAACUAAAUUCGGAUUACUUACUCAGCCUCU